rnacentral:sRNA from 1 species
CGACGCAAAGCGGCGGCCCGAAGGGUGAGGAACGCAGUGACGAAUAAUCCUUCCCCCACCACCA